rnacentral:rRNA from 1 species
UACGGAGGGUGCAAGCGUUAAUCGGAAUUACUGGGCGUAAAGGGCGCGUAGGCGGCCUUCUAAGUCGAACGUGAAAUCCCCGGGCUCAACCCGGGAACUGCGUCCGAUACUGGAAGGCUUGAAUCCGGGAGAGGGAUGCGGAAUUCCAGGUGUAGCGGUGAAAUGCGUAGAUAUCUGGAGGAACACCGGUGGCGAAGGCGGCAUCCUGGACCGGUAUUGACGCUGAGGCGCGAAAGCCAGGGGAGCAAACGGG